rnacentral:rRNA from 1 species
UACGUAGGCAGCAAGCGUUGUUCGGAAUUACUGGGCGUAAAGAGUGUGUAGGCGGUGCUCUAAGUUCGGUGUGAAAUCUCCCGGCUCAACUGGGAGGGUGCGCCGAAAACUGGAGUGCUGGAGCGCGGGAGAGGAAAGCGGAAUUCCUGGUGUAGCGGUGAAAUGCGUAGAUAUCAGGAGGAACACCUGUGGUGUAGACAGCUUACUGGACCAUUUCUGACGCUGAGACACGAAAGCGUGGGUAGCAAACAGG